rnacentral:rRNA from 1 species
CGAGUGGCGAACGGGUGAGUAACACGUGGGUGAUCUGCCCUGCACUUUGGGAUAAGCCUGGGAAACUGGGUCUAAUACCGAAUACACCUCUUGGGUUGCAUGACUCUUGGGGGAAAGCUUUUGCGGUGUGGGAUGGGCCCGCGGCCUAUCAGCUUGUUGGUGGGGUGAUGGCCUACCAAGGCGACGACGGGUAGCCGGCCUGAGAGGGUGUCCGGCCACACUGGGACUGAGAUACGGCCCAGACUCCUACGGGAGGCAGCAGUGGGGAAUAUUGCACAAUGGGCGCAAGCCUGAUGCAGCGACGCCGCGUGGGGGAUGACGGCCUUCGGGUUGUAAACCUCUUUCAGCACAGACGAAGCGCAAGUGACGGUAUGUGCAGAAGAAGCACCGGCCAACUACGUGCCAGCAGCCGCGGUAAUACGUAGGGUGCGAGCGUUGUCCGGAAUUACUGGGCGUAAAGAGCUCGUAGGUGGUUUGUCGCGUUGUUCGUGAAAACCGGGGGCUUAACCCUCGGCGUGCGGGCGAUACGGGCAGACUGGAGUACUGCAGGGGAGACUGGAAUUCCUGGUGUAGCGGUGGAAUGCGCAGAUAUCAGGAGGAACACCGGUGGCGAAGGCGGGUCUCUGGGCAGUAACUGACGC